rnacentral:rRNA from 1 species
UACAGAGGGUGCAAGCGUUGUUCGGAAUUAUUGGGCGUAAGGGCAGGUAGGUGGUCUUGGAAAGUCUACUGUGAAAUCUCCGGGCUUAACCCGGGAAAGGUCAGCCGAUACUGCGGGGCUAGAGUGCGGAAGGGGCAACUGGGAAUUCUCGGUGUAGUGGUGAAAUGCGUAGAGAUCCGGAGGACCCCAGAGGCGAAGGCGGCGUCCUGGGCUCGCAUCUGACGCUCAGACACGGACAGCAUGGGG